rnacentral:rRNA from 1 species
AGAGCGAACGCUGGCGGCAGGCCUAAUACAUGCAAGUCGAACGGAUCCUUCGGGAUUAGUGGCGGACGGGUGAGUAACACGUGGGAACGUACCCUUUGGUUCGGAACAACUCAGGGAAACUUGAGCUAAUACCGAAUGUGCCCUUCGGGGAAAAGAUUUAUCGCCAUUGGAGCGGCCCGCGUCUGAUUAGCUAGUUGGUAGGGUAAAGGCCUACCAAGGCUACGAUCAGUAGCUGGUCUGAGAGGAUGAUCAGCCACACUGGGACUGAGACACGGCCCAGACUCCUACGGGAGGCAGCAGUAGGGAAUCUUGCGCAAUGGGCGAAAGCCUGACGCAGCCAUGCCGCGUGAAUGAUGAAGGUCUUAGGAUUUGUAAAAUUCUUUCAGCGGGGACGAUAAUGACGGUACCCGCAGAAGAACGCCCCGGCUAACUUCGCGCCAGCAGCCGC